rnacentral:rRNA from 1 species
UGCGUAGGUGGUGAUGCAAGUCUGGUGUGAAAUCUCGGAGCUUACCUCCGAAAUUGCACCGGAUACUGCGUUGCUCGAGGACUGUAGAGGAGAUCGGAAUUCACGGUGUAGCAGUGAAAUGCGUAGAUAUCGUGAGGAAGACCAGUUGCGAAGGCGGAUCUCUGGGCAGUUCCUGACACUGAGGCACGAAGGCCAGGGGAGCAAACG